AGGGAGAAAAAUAAAAAUCAGUGCUAAGUUGUAAAGGUAGCUAUCAACUGUUCUAUUACAUCAUAGUUCAGAAAUUAAGAAUAGGAGGUAUUACUCUGCACUUCAUAUUACAGGCCUUGCUCUGCACUGCAACCUGAUACAGUUGUGUCCAUUUCUAGACUGGGAGGCCUUGCUCACAGUCACCCAUGCCUUGGUCACCUUCCCUUUGGAUUACUGCAAUGUGCUUAUAUGGGAUUGGCCUUGAAGACUAUCCAGAAGCUGCAACUAGUCCAGAAUGAAGUACAAUGAAUGAAGUUCACUCCAGUAACACCAUACUGUGUCAGCUGCACAGGUUUCCAGUUGCUUUCUGGGUACAAGUUAACGUGCUGUAUCACCUUUAAUGGCACAGGUGGAACUGUCACAGCUGGAACUGAC